rnacentral:rRNA from 1 species
AGAGUUUGAUCAUGGCUCAGGACUAACGCUGGCGGCGUGCCUAACACAUGCAAGUCGAACGGGGUAGCAAUACCUAGUGGCAGACGGGUGAGUAACGCGUAGAUAAUGUGCCCUCUUGCGGGGGAUACCGUUUCGAAAGGAACGUUAAUACCGCAUAACACGGCCUGGAGGCAUCUUCGGGUCGUCAAAUUUCCGGAGCGAGAGGAGCAGUCUGCGUUCUAUCAGCUAGUUGGUGGGGUAAUGGCCUACCAAGGCGACGACGGAUAACUGGUCUGAGAGGAUGAUCAGUCACACUGGAACUGAGACACGGUCCAGACUCCUACGGGAGGCAGCAGUGAGGAAUAUUGCGCAAUGGGCGAAAGCCUGACGCAGCGACGCCGCGUGGAGGAUGAAGGCCUUCGGGUUGUAAACUCCUGUCAGUGGGGAAGAGAAUGGACGGUACCCACUGAGGAAGCUUCGGCUAACUACGUGCCAGCAGCCGCGGUAAGACGUAGGGAGCAAGCGUUGUCCGGAAUUACUGGGCGUAAAGAGCUCGUAGGCGGGACCGUAAGUCCGAGAGGAAAUCUCAAGGCUCAACUUUGGGGCUUUCUCGGAUACUGCGGUUCUUGAGGAUAUCAGGGGACAGUAGAAUUCUCGGUGUAGCGGUGAAAUGCGUAGAUAUCGGGAGGAAUACCAGUGGCGAAGGCGACUGUCUGGGAUGUUCCUGACGCUGAGGAGCGAAAGCGUGGGUAGCAAACGGGAUUAGAUACCCUAGUAGUCC